GUGGAAGAGGUUGUGUUAGGACUGAUUCUAAUAAAUUGGGUUCCUCAAGUUCUUUAGCUCGUUGCUCUUGGGAGACAUUCUCCUUGAGCUUAAUUAUUCUUCCUAUGCCACCAUCUUGAAUAAACUAUUUUUCAAGAAAAAUAGCAUAUCGAUUCACAAUCACAUUGUGAUCUUCUAGAAUAUAGAAAUAGUAUCCUAAUGACUCU
rnacentral:lncRNA from 1 species